GACGAACCGUGCGAACGUUGUUCGGAAUCACUGGGCUUAAAGGGCGCGUAGGCGGGCUGCCAAGUCUGGGGUGAAAUUCCACGGCUCAACCGUGGAACUGCCUCGGAUACUGGCGGUCUCGAGGGAGGUAGGGGCAUGCGGAACUGUGGGUGGAGCGGUGAAAUGCGUUGAUAUCCACAGGAACUCCGGUGGCGAAAGCGGCGUGCUGGACCUCUUCUGACGCUGAGGCGCGAAAGCUAGGGGAGCAAACGGG
rnacentral:rRNA from 1 species